rnacentral:rRNA from 1 species
GGGGGGGGGGGGGGGGGGGCGGGGGGGGGGCAGGUCGGGCGGGGGGGGCGGGGGUUGGGGGGGUGGGCGAGUGGCGAACGGGUGAGGAACACGGGAGGAACCUGCCCUUGACUCUGGGAUAAGUGCUGGAAACGGCGUCUAAUACCGGAUAGGAGCUGCUGAGGCAUCUUCGGCAGCUGGAAGGUACUUCGGUCAGGGAUGAGCUCGCGGCUUAUCAGCUUGUUGGUGAGGUAACGGCUCACCAAGGCGUCGACGGGUAGCCGGCCUGAGAGGGUGACCGGCCACACUGGGACUGAGACACGGCCCAGACUCCUACGGGAGGCAGCAGUGGGGAAUAUUGCACAAUGGGCGAAAGCCUGAUGCAGCAACGCCGCGUGAGGGACGACGGCCUUCGGGUUGUAAACCUCUUUUAGCAGGGAAGAAGCGAAAGUGACGGUACCUGCAGAAAAAGCGCCGGCUAACUACGUG